GCCGGGCAUGGUGGCAGGUGCCUGUAAUCCCAGCUACUUGGGAGGCUGAGUCAGGAGAAUUGCUUGAACCCAGGAGACGGAGGUUGCAGUGAGCCAAGAUCUUAUCCACUGCACUUCAGCCUGGGUGACAGAGUGAGACCUUGUCUCAA
rnacentral:SRP_RNA from 1 species